rnacentral:rRNA from 1 species
CCUACGGGGUGCAGCAGUGGGGAAUAUUUGUCAAUGGGCGCAAGCCUGACCCAGCAAUGCCGCGUGAAGGAAGAAGGCUUUCGGGUUGUAAACUUCUUUGACAGGGGAAGAGCAGAAGACGGUACCCUGAAAACAAGCCACGGCUAACUACGUGCCAGCAGCCGCGGUAAUACGUAGGUGGCAAGCGUUGUCCGGAUUUACUGGGUGUAAAGGGCGUGUAGCCGGGAAGGCAAGUCAGAUGUGAAAUCUGGAGGCUCAACCUCCAAAUUGCAUUUGAAACUGUUUUUCUUGAGUACUGGAGAGGCAGACGGAAUUCCUUGUGUAGCGGUGAAAUGCGUAGAUAUAAGGAGGAACACCAGUGGCGAAGGCGGUCUGCUGGACAGCAACUGACGGUGAGGCGCGAAAGCGUGGGGAGCAAACAGGAUUAGAUACCCCUGUAGUC